rnacentral:rRNA from 1 species
GACGAACGCUGGCGGCGUGCCUAAUACAUGCAAGUAGAACGCUGAAGGAGGAGCUUACUUCUCUGGAUGAGUUGCGAACGGGUGAGUAACGCGUAGGUAACCUGCCUGGUAGCGGGGGAUAACUAUUGGAAACGAUAGCUAAUACCGCAUAAGAGUAGAUGUUGCAUGACAUUUACUUAAAAGGUGCAAUUGCACCACUACCAGAUGGACCUGCGUUGUAUUAGCUAGUUGGUGGGGUAACGGCUUACCAAGGCGACGAUACAUAGCCGACCUGAGAGGGUGAUCGGCACACUGGGACUGAGACACGGCCCAGACUCCUACGGGAGGCAGCGGUAGGGAAUCUUCGGCAAUGGACGGAAGUCUGACCGAGCAACGCCGCGUGAGUGAAGAAGGUUUUCGGAUCGUAAAGCUCUGUUGUAAGAGAAGAACAAGUGUGAGAGUGGAAAGUUCACACUGUGACGGUAUCUUACCAGAAAGGGACGGCUAACUACGUGCCAGCCGCCGCCGUAA